UACGGAGGAUCCGGGCGUUAUCCGGAUUUAUUGGGUUUAAAGGGUGCGUAGGCGGCCUUGUAAGUCAGGGGUGAAAGACGGUAGCUCAACUAUCGCAGUGCCUUUGAUACUGCAGGGCUUGAAUGUACUUGAGGUAGGCGGAAUGUGACAAGUAGCGGUGAAAUGCAUAGAUAUGUCACAGAACACCAAUUGCGAAGGCAGCUUACUAAAGUAUGAUUGACGCUGAGGCACGAAAGCGUGGGGAUCAAACAGG
rnacentral:rRNA from 1 species